rfam:Nelumbo nucifera unplaced genomic scaffold scaffold00008, whole genome shotgun sequence
GUCUCUGAGGAUGACUAAAAGAAAACUUUCGUUCUUCUGAGAUAAUCCAUGCGGAAAGUUUAUGGAGACCUGAACUGAAGAGGC